UUUUAGGAUGAUUAGAAAAUAAAAAAGCACAAAAAUGGCUCUAUAAAAGACUUGGGAAUAAUAACUGCUCAGUAUUAAAAAUCUGCAAACGAUUCGAGUUACUGCAAGCGAGCAGCACUGUUCAAAAUGAAUUUUCUUUUGAUGCUGUUAGUUGUUCUGUGUUUCGCAGCUGUUAUUUAUGUUGCUAUGGCAGACGAUGAUUCUCAUGUAAUGGCAGGAAAACCUCUCUACUUUACAAAAGUUACUGAUUCUGAUGGCAACGUCAUUGGAGUCGAGCAACAUGAAGGAUGAAUCUUCACGCAAUACCAGUGAAAGCAAUACCAUAAAAUUUUAUCAAACGUUCUAUCUGAUCCAUUUCAAAAUUCUUUCAAAAAUUUAAAUAGAUGGAAAAAAAUUUACAAAAUUAUUCCAUUUUGUAACUGAGUACUAAAGAAUAUGAAUAUGCAACUUAUUAAAAAAAAUAUUUCUUUUUUAAUUGUAAUAAAAAUUUAUUUCUGAAUGUUCA